rnacentral:rRNA from 1 species
GACGAACGCUGGCGGCGUGCCUAAUGCAUGCAAGUCGAACGCUUCUUUCCUCCCGAGUGCUUGCACUCAAUUGGAAAGAGGAGUGGCGGACGGGUGAGUAACACGUGGGUAACCUACCCAUCAGAGGGGGAUAACACUUGGAAACAGGUGCUAAUACCGCAUAACAGUUUAUGCCGCAUGGCAUAAGAGUGAAAGGCGCUUUCGGGUGUCGUUGAUGGAUGGACCCGCGGUGCAUUAGCUAGUUGGUGAGGUAACGGCUCACCAAGGCCACGAUGCAUAGCCGACCUGAGAGGGUGAUCGGCCACACUGGGACUGAGACACGGCCCAGACUCCUACGGGAGGCAGCAGUAGGGAAUCUUCGGCAAUGGACGAAAGUCUGACCGAGCAACGCCGCGUGAGUGAAGAAGGUUUUCGGAUCGUAAAACUCUGUUGUUAGAGAAGAACAAGGACGUUAGUAACUGAACGUCCCCUGACGGUAUCUAACCAGAAAGCCACGGCUAACUACGUG